GAUGGCCUGAGGAGGAUUUUUGACUGCCAUGCUGUUAGGCUGGCAACUUGGGAGCAGGUCAGGAUGUACAUUUAUUGAUCUUUCUCAGCAUGAAGAAAAGA